rnacentral:rRNA from 1 species
GUAAGAGCUCGUAGGCGGUUUGUCGCGUCUGCCGUGAAAGUCCGGGGCUCAACUCCGGAUCUGCGGUGGGUACGGGCAGACUAGAGUGAUGUAGGGGAGACUGGAAUUCCUGGUGUAGCGGUGAAAUGCGCAGAUAUCAGGAGGAACACCGAUGGCGAAGGCAGGUCUCUGGGCAUUAACUGACGCUGAGGAGCGAAAGCAUGGGGAGCGAACAGGAUUAGAUACCCUGGUAGUCCAUGCCGUAAACGUUGGGCACUAGGUGUGGGGGACAUUCCACGUUUUCCGCGCCGUAGCUAACGCAUUAAGUGCCCCGCCUGGGGAGUACGGCCGCAAGGCUAAAACUCAAAGGAAUUGACGGGGGCCCGCACAAGCGGCGGAGCAUGCGGAUUAAUUCGAUGCAACGCGAAGAACCUUACCAAGGCUUGACAUGGGCCGGACCGGGCUGGAAACAGUCCUUCCCCUUUGGGGCCGGUUCACAGGUGGUGCAUGGUUGUCGUCAGCUCGUGUCGUGAGAUGUUGGGUUAAGUCCCGCAACGAGCGCAACCCUCGUUCCAUGUUGCCAGCGCGUAAUGGCGGGGACUCAUGGGAGACUGCCGGGGUCAACUCGGAGGAAGGUGGGGACGACGUCAAAUCAUCAUGCCCCUUAUGUCUUGGGCUUCACGCAUGCUACAAUGGCCGGUACAAAGGGUUGCGAUACUGUGAGGUGGAGCUAAUCCCAAAAAGCCGGUCUCAGUUCGGAUUGGGGUCUGCAACUCGACCCCAUGAAGUCGGAGUCGCUAGUAAUCGCAGAUCAGCAACGCUGCGGUGAAUACGUUCCCGGGCCUUGUACACACCGCCCGUCAAGUCACGAAAGUUGGUAACACCCGAAGCCGGUGGCCUAACCCUUGUGGGAGGGAGCUUUCGAAGGUGGGACUGGCGAUUGGACGAAGUCGUAACAGGG